CGCCUCAAGUUAUAAUUUUAGGUAUAACCUGCCCUAUGAGAUUUAAAUGGCCGCAGUAUUUUGACUGUGCAAAGGUAGCAUAAUAAUUUGUCUUUUAAUUGAAGGCUUGUAUGAAUGGUUGGACGAAGUAAAACCUGUCCCGGUGAUAUAAACGUAAUUUAAUUUGUAAGUAAAAAAGCUUACAUGAGCACGUAGGACGAGAAGACCCCGUAGAUCUUUAUAAUAUAAUUUUUAAUUCAGUUAUUAUAAAAGAAUUUGCACUUUUAUGUUAUUUGGUUGGGGCGACUGGGAGCUAUAAAACGCUCUUGAUUAAUACAUUUAUUAUUGGCUUAUUGACCCGUUUUACGAUUAAAAGAAUAAGUUACCUCGGGGAUAACAGCGUUAUUUAAAUUUAGAGUUCUUAUCAAAAUUUAAGAUUGCGACCUCGAUGUUGGAUUAAGAUUCUCUUUAUGUGCAGC
rnacentral:rRNA from 1 species